UUCUUCUUAAGACCGGAUACUCAAUUAACAAGUCAUCUUCUGGAACACCCAAAUUCACAAUUCAUCUUAUCCCGACAGCGAUUUUUCUUCAACGCGAAAUGUCUGAUUCUUGGCGAAGUAUCGGCGUAUGUUAUUCCAUAAAGGUUAGACCUAGUUUUUUGAGAUUAGGGUUUUUUUCGUUUAUGUGGAUAAAUUGAUAUGUAACUUGGUUGUAUACUCAAAUUGUUGUAUGUUCCCUAUUACCCACACUUAAGCACAAGCAUAGGAUACUUUGUUUUCCUUUGGAGGGAUGAAAACUUAGAAUUUAUUGUGGUGCGAGUGCAAAUCAAUUACUGUAUUAACUUCCUGGUGAGGAUAUAAUAUCGACGGUUUGAUGCCAAACAACUAAGGUUAAUUUUUCUGGAGUUCUUAUGUAUUUAUAUGAAAUAUGAAUAAUUUUACUUCUUAGUUUAUUUUUAUUUUUCUAAUUUUGAACAUGAAAUUUUACACCAUGGUAAAGAGACUAUCUUUUAUCUUUUGUUACAUAGAAAACAUAUAAUUUUUAAUUUGUAUUAAAAAAAACCCAGUAAAGCACUUUUAUGCUAAUGAGACAAGGGCCUAUAUGAAUUAUCAUGUUGUGAUAUUGUGUUAAAUUCAAGAGAACUAAGUAGGGUGCAUUAUUCAUUAGUUAGUUGCCUUCCCACCUUUCUGUCUAACAAUGUUUAUGAGUUAUCCUAAGAGUUUUCUCUAAUUAAAAAAUUCAAUAAUAUACUGUCUUGAAAAUUUUCUGUAGAUAAAUUGAGCAGCAAACUAUGAAAACUUAGUUUCUAUUAUCCUGCUACUUCAUUAAGUAGCAUUAAAGUGAAGUCCAAGUCUGGAUACCUUGCCCAUUCUUUUGGAUAAAUGUAUAGGACAAAAGAACACUUUUAAUGUGACUGAAUAAAUGAAGAAGAAUAAAUAUUUCACAUCUCAUGUGAAUUAUUUAGGAAAAUGUCAAUUUUGUUAAUGGAAGAUGUAGAGAUAUCUUGGUUAUCAGAUUAAAUUUUUUAUUUUUUUGAUCUUCUUGUAAACCCUCAUAAUAGUUUUUUGGUUGUGCAAAUGAAAGGGAAUGAUGAAUUUGGGUUGUACCAAGUCUGAAACCAAGUGGAUUUACAUAUUCGCUUGCACCAAACUCUGUAUUUAUUUUUCAUGUUUUAUAAGUGAUAAAUCGUAUAGUUGUAUUAUUGGAAAAUGGUGGAGUAGCAUCUUGUUAUCCUCCAGCAAGUAUGAUACCAUUUGUUCUUAUAUUUUCUAUUAGAAUACUUAUAUACUCUUAACUUUCUUACGUAUUAUUGUUCUGAAAAGGCAAUUCUUAUCAAGUGUGGAAGAAACUCCACCAAAAAACAUACAAAUCUUACUGUGGCAGGCAAAAGGUCUAGAGGUGAGAUUUAUUUUCAUUUGGUGGAAUUCUACAUGAGCUGACUAUUGGAUUCAAAAGUGAGAUACUAUUGUGUUUAUACAUUAAUUCUCAUUUUUGGCUUAGUUUUCAAUGUCUAUAAUUAUAAGUAGGUAGCUUAUAUUUUUGCACAUUUGAUACUGUUCAUAUUGUCUCCUUACUGAGUAAUAAUAUUUGAUUUAUAUUUUCUCUUGUUUGUGUUCUCCCUGUUGAAUUAUCAAUAGCUUUCCAAUUGUAAAUUGCACUAUUUUUCAGGUUGAAAAAAGAUUUGGCUCCCUUAUCCAAACAAGAAUGCCAUGACUGAAUCCAUUGAAGAUAGUAUUGGUUUCUCCAAGAAUCUAUAGAGCCAAGUACUACAGGUGAAUGCCAUUUUUACUAUGCUUUUAUUUUAUUGUCCUUUUUGAGGUCCUGUUAUUCAACUUUAGUUGUGAG
rnacentral:lncRNA from 1 species